GUUGGAUGGAGCUAUUCACAAUCUCAAGGAGUCAGGCUGGGCUGCCAGACAAAAGGGGGAGGCUGACUCUUCAAUAGUCGGCAUCCAGUGGAUUCUAGAUACAGAGAAGUUCCUGGAAAGCCCUUCAGAGGAACUGAUGUGUCCUUCAGCCUUGUUGAUUCCAGUUCAUUCAGAGGUGUGAACGGGAAUGCACACACACGGGAUCCCAGCACAUGGGGAAACACCACGUGCCACGUUCUUACCGGGAAAUCAAGGUAAGGCUGGGUGUCAAGUCCAGUGACAGCGACAGUGACUUCUGGCGGUGGAACGGGGCUUUCUCCCAACAGCCACGCCCCCACUGCGGAGGGAAACGUUUAUAAAUGCCUGUAUCUUCGUUUCCUCGGUUCCCAAAUUCUCUUUUAUACUUUGGUAAAGGCAGGUACAGAUGGUUUUAUGUACAGUGUUCAGUGUCAGUGAUGGCAAAUGCAUAUACCUGGUUACUACGGAUGCAGACCAUUUCACAAAUAGACAUGGCAAGGGUAGUUCAAAUGUCUGUUUAUUUAUUCGCAAACUUAGUAACAUGAAAAGAUUCUCAGUUGAAACCUGGCUUGAUAGAAAUACACUGCACAAUGUUAAUACCGCAUUCACGGAGGGCAGAGAUGCUGGGUCACCCUGUGUGCCUAUUGUCACCAGGGCUCGGGAGAAAGAACCAUUUACUAAAGUGCUUCAAACAUCCUCUGAACCACAGGCUGAUGCUACACAGGGACAGAAAAUGCUGAGUUGAACUGCACAUUUACAAAUGCAAAGCAUGAGUGGUAGCACUUUACAAUAAUUACACUGGCAUUUUCACACAUCCCAAGAGUCAACCAGAGAGUAAAGUGAUAACCGUGCUGCUAGAAGACCCUUCACUGAAACAAGGUGCAGAGCUUUCUACCCGACACUCCCUAGUUCUGAGGAAGGAGAAGCUAUGUGGGUUGGAUGGGUCCCCUCAGACAAAAUGAAGGUACUUUUGUUUUCAUGCUUCCCAUCUCCAGCCACCAUGUGGCAUUCUGGAAUGUAAGGCACUAGAACCUGGCUUGGGGGAAAGAGGUGCUCUGAGCUCCAGUUCUUGGUGUGUGAAGCAAAUCCUGGCACAGAUCUUUUGAAACAGGUGCUAAAUGUAUCCUCCCCAUGUCUUGCAAUUCUUGUCCUUAAAGAGUGAAAAAUGAGAAGGCAGAAGGUUUGCAAAGCAUAAAAUUGAUGCACCUAAUGUUGUGAAAGUCAUGGCCCAUGAAGAAAUACGUAAUUCUCUAAGGGUUGCAGAUACUAUGCUCAGAGAAGUCAAGAACCAUACAAGAAAUAACUCUGGUCUUUAACAGGAAAGGAGAAGCCAAGACAACAAAAACAAUCCUCUUGAAAAACAUUGCAUCGGUGCUUAUGAGAGCCUACAAAGAACAAGACUCAAUAUUGACAAUGAAGGGAGCCCCAGGGCUUAGCAUUUAAAGCAGAGGCUUAAAAAGGGCAUGGGUGAGGGGAGCUUGGAGAAAUCUAUACAGCUUGUUCACUGCUUACUGCAUGAAACCAGAAUGUAGUUAAACAGGUUAAACAGCACUUUAUAUAUUCCAGCCACCAUUUCCUAUAGACAACUUGGUUUCUGCCAAAUUCACAUGCCGGGCAAUGGCAUCAGCAGGAUGGCUCAUCACGAAAAUUUGUGGUUUUUCUCCCCCAAUUGCCACAGUUAGGUAUCAGGAAAGGCUCACCCGAGAAUAUGCCUCAGCUGUGUUAGCCUGUGCCCUCUUCUUUUUUAGGCAGCUGGUGACCCUAAGCUUUAAGCCCAGAGCUAAAAUAUUAAAGUAUGUAUCUAGCAUGGAGGCCCAGAAUGCCCUGAACUUCCAUGCAUCAGAGUAGC